rnacentral:tRNA from 1 species
GGCUCAGUAGCUUAGUUGGUAAAGCGCUCGUCUAGCAUACAAGAGUCCUGGGUUCAAAUCUCAGCCGAGCAC